GGGCGAGCGUUUUUCAAAAAGAAAACAAUCUCACAUUCGACGUGAGGAAGGGCGGCCCCCGGCCGAGAGGUUCGCGACCCGCGCGCGCUGGUCGGGGGGUUUGCGCUCCCGCGCCAGAAAAAUCCUCGAAAGACUGCGAGCGAUUUCGUGUGAAACUGCUAGAAGAAAAGGAACUUAUAGAGAGAAAGCCGGUGUUUCUGCGUCUUUUUGGGCAACGGGCCGCUCUCGCGAAAAGGAAAACGGGAGGCGGGCGAAGCGACUUCGGCGCAUGCGUUUCUUUGAGAAGGACGUCUCUCCUCCCUUUGCCAAAAAAUAGGGAUUAAAGGCUUUCGGAAUAAACCUGAUUCCCUACAAGGCUUGGCUCGGCAACGUCGAAAAGAACAGGACGCGGACGAAACACGGCGAACGGAAGGGAAGAGAAACAGCACACAGCCCCUGCGGCGGCGAAAAAGCAAACCCUUUCGCUCCGAUCCAAAAGAUCUUUUGGGAUGAAAAUGUGGAUACAGCUGUCGACGCAGCUCAGAGAAAAACGAAAGAAUGGCAGGUUCUACGAAAAGAAAACACAGCGCGGACCGCCCUGCGGGGCCGUUCGGGAAGGUAAAGUGGGCGUGGACGCGACAAACACUGGACAGUUGCCAGGUUCUCUGUAUUGGGGUCCAUCGGUGAGCAAGGUGUCUGAUUUCACGUUUUUUUCCCUAUCAGCAUGCGAGGAACCACAGACUGCGGCCUCUUUCACUGGCCAAACCUGUUUUAGGGGAGAAAUCUACCGCGCGAAAAAUCCGAGCGUAGUGCUUCGUCCACCAACGGGAAGGGGAAGACCGACGGAUUGGGAUUGAGGGCAAGCUGCUUCCGGCGGCUAGGCAGUGAAGCCCAGUUACCAAAGCUUUUGCCGCUGUCCGGUAGGAGCAAAAAGACGAUCUUUCAUGUCCAACGGUGAAUCAGAAGUAGCGCCGCCGAUCAGAU
rnacentral:lncRNA from 1 species